AGCAUCAACUUCUUUGUGGAAUUCCUGCAGUUCAAUUUGCAGCGAUGUUUGGAGUGUCAAAGAGGACCAUCAGGAGGCGCAGGCAACAAUACAGUUUAAGAAAGACAGAUCUCUAUUCAGCUGUGAAUGAUGAGGACUUAGACCGUAUUGUAAGUGAAAUUCACAGAAGUCAUCCAAACACCGGCUACAAGCUAAUCCGUGGUCACCUGAAUGCAAGAGGUGUGCAUGUUCCAAUAUCAAGACUGCAAGAGUCUUUAUGCAGAGUCGAUGCAGAGGGAGUCUACAUGAGACGUCUGAGGCUGCGUGUAUUAAGGCGACGGCAGUAUUUUGUU